UUUUUUUUUUUUUUUUUUUUUUUUUUUUUGCAAGUAGUCUAAGGAGACAUUUGAGAAAAUAUGUAAUGUGCAUAAAGGCUUACGAGUCAAUUUACAUUCCCUUCUCUGAUGGAAUCAACAAUUUAAAUUAUCCGUAAAAUAUGAAAAGGGAGUAUUUAUCAACCAAACUUACCAUUCUCUGCAUACAUAAUACACCAUAAGUGUAUAAUAUAAUCUACUAACAGAUUCCAGAAAUGUAUUUUCUAAAAGUCUUCAACUGAGAAAGAAAAAUAGACCUCAUUAUGUUCUGCAGAUCUUUGGCACUUAAGAGUGGAAGAACAAUCUGUUCAUAACAUCAGAAAAAUCCAUAUUGUCCCCAAAAUAUCAGCAAACCACAAAGCAGAAGUAACAGCUACGCUGACAGAUAAUAUACAGGAAAUCUGGGAUAUGUCAGGCUGCAAGAUUAGUUCAAAGCAUUUCUAUCAGAGCAUAGAAUGAAUAGUUUUGUUAAAUCGCAGCAGACCUACAUAAAUUUUAUUCAUCAGCUAAUCAAAAUGCUACAAUUUCUGUUUCAGCAUUUUGCUUUAGUAGUACAUAAACAUAUAUAAUUCUCCUCAUAUAUAUAUGUAAGGAUAGAUAUAUAUAUCAGAAUACAUACAACAGUACAAUUAGUGUUUUUCAUUUAUUCAUUAAUGAGUGAAGCAAUAUCUUAGAUACUGGAUCUCAAAGUAUUUAAUUCUAUGCUAAUCACUAUUCACUUCUGGAUUAGAAACAACACCCACUAUUUCUGUAAAAAUAUAGUAGAAACUCUUGAAAUACUGCAGUUCUAUUCCCUCUCUAUGCUGUAAAGAAGAAGAACUAAGAAGUUAUAUAUAUAUAUACAUCCUAAACUAAAUAUAUUUAUUAUUAAAAUAAAUAAACUAAAAUAAGUGAACAGGUUUUAUUGAUUCUUAAGGACUUGAGGACAGAUUAGAAGAAAUUUACACUUGUAAAGAUUCUAAACAGGAGCUGAAAAUCAAGUCUUCUUAUUUUCCACUGUCAUGCUGGAUGUCUUGUGGCAUAGUACUUAGUCCAUCUUUAGACCAUUUGAGAAUGAAGUUUUCUCAGGCUUAAAUUUUGGCCAGAAACACAUAGGACAAAAUAGAGGAUGUCAUCAAAAACAAGGCUGACAGAUAUUUCAAAGGGAUGUGAUGACAAGAACAUGACUGCCAUCCAAAUAUUUCUCCAAACCAAAGUCCUCAGGAGUGGUGGAAGCCCUCAGAUGUGUGUGUGUGUGUAUUGUGGAGGCGGGAGGGAAGGGUACACACAUGUGUUUGUAUGUGUAUUUAACACACAAUAAAGGGAUAUUAAAAUUAAGCGGGGAAUAUUCAGAAUAGGACAUUUCAUAUUAUUUUUUAUGUCAGAGAACACUGAUUAGGCAAGUAAUGUGACAGAUUGAUGAGAUCUGAGCAGACCUUCCUUGAUCUGUCUUCAAGUUCUACAUCACAUUAAACUAAGGUUGAAAUUUUGUCCUGAGAUGAAUGGUUUGGUACACUGUCUAGCAAGAUGAUCUUGGUGUAUUGGAAUUCUUGUAUAACUAGCUAAAUCUAGACACAUAAACACUGUAAAACUGUGCUGUGCAUAGGAGUCAGGACUGCCAACAAUAUUGCUCUUCCAGUUCAGUAGAGGGAUAGUAAUGACAGGCCACUGCACUCUUAAGUAGCAACACACAAAGCAGGAACAAUUGUUCAAGGAAAUUAGGCUGUCAUAUAUGUAUUUGGGUGAAUCAGAAUUUUUUUCUUCCACUGUAAUUUUUUCUUCUUCAUAGUGUGCAUAUUUUGUGUACUGCUCCUCUCAGUAUUUUCUUCGCACUUGUCUGUUUCCUCUUCCAAAAACUGACAGUUGCCUUCGCUGAUCAUCAGCUCUGCUUACUCCUUCUCCUCCUACAGCAAUACCACAAUAUUUUCAAUUGUCUACUCUUAGCAAAGGGGUGAAAACAAAGCAAAAUAAAAAAACAUCCUAGUGCUUUCAGAGCUGCAUUUAAUUUCUACUUUCCUGUCUGGUCUGCUUGAGGCUUGUUAAUAUUAUAAACAGAGGCAGCAGGUAAUUUGAAAUAAGAGAUGAAUUGCACUUUGUCAAGCUGCAUGAGACAUAAGGAUAUCUAUUUAAUGUGCCUGUGGGAAAAUUAUGAACCAUUGAUUUAAAUUCUUCAGCUAAUGGUCAUACAGCUAGGUUUGUAAAAGCAGUAAGUAUAUACACUCAUGAAUCACUCUAAAAAACACUGAAACUACUCAGUUCUGUAUCAAAGUUCCUUGGUAUUUCCAAAACUGCAAUUUUUGUGUAAACUGAGAAUUCCAAAACUAGUGUCAGAAAAUGCAUCGAGUACUUCCUGUGUAAUAUAUUUCAUCCUUCAGUAAUAAAAUUGUCCUGGUUUCAGUUGAGACAGUGCAACAAGUACACUUAUGUUUUGGUUAUUGAUGAACAAACAAAGGGCUGUAUCAGGCCAUCCAGCAGAGAAGAGUCACUGCCUGUAUGACAUGGCAGCAGGGGAUGGGGCAGAGAAAGGACAGUGGCCUGAAUUAGACAGGGGGUUAUUUUAUACCACGUGACAUUAUAGGGAAGGCCAUAAAUCUGUGGGCAGUUGACUGAGGUCUGGCUACUGCUUGGGGAUUGACUGGGUGUCAGCCAGUGAGUGGUGAGAUGUUGCAGUGCUAGGAGGGCUUUGGCCAACAAGCAGUUGUAUUGUUAGUUGGUUGGGUGGUAACUAAUUGCAUUUUAAACACAUUUAUAUAUAUAUACAUAUUUAGUCAUAAUUGAAUUUUUGUUUGUGUGUUCCCUGUCUGUCUUAGUAAAUAACUUUUUUCUCAACCCAUGAA
rnacentral:lncRNA from 1 species